rnacentral:lncRNA from 1 species
UAUGAAUGUAUCACAUUUUGUGUGUAUGUGUCACAUCCAUUCAUCUGUUUAUGGAUAUUGGAUAAUUUUCAUAUUUUAGCUAUUAUCAAUAAUGCUGCUGUAGGCCAGACACAGUGGCUUAUACCUGUAAUCUCAGCACUUUGAGAGGCCAAGGCAGGAGCAUCACUUGAGGCCAGGAGUUCAAGACCAGACUGGACAACACAGCAAGACCCUCUUUCUAAAUAAAAUAAUAAUACCACUGCUGUAAACAUUUAUAUACAAGUUUGUGUGUAGACAUAUGUUUUCAAUUCUCCUGGGUAAAUACUUAGAAUGAAAUUAAUGGCCAUUUGGUAACUAUGUUUAACUUUUUGAGCAACUGCCAAACUGUUACACCAUUUUACAUUCCCAGCAGCAAGGUAUGAACGUUUCAAUUCCUC